ACUACACAUGCCUUACCGAGGAACUUGGUUCGCUCGCUGAAGGGAUUAACAAGAUUAAACCCGAGUAUUUGAGGUCUUUCCAGUUUGAAAGCAGGUUGAUGUUAUCUAUUUGGAUUGUAGUUCGGGUAGACGGUUGUCAUUUCCAUAGGUUUUGUGAAGAUAAUGGCUUUCAGAAGCCAAAUGAUGAGCAGGCACUGAAACUUAUGAACUCUUGCGCGGUGUCUUUGCUGGAGAUGUUUAAGGAUAUUAUCUUUGCAUAUGGAGUGAGUGAUG
rnacentral:misc_RNA from 1 species